rnacentral:rRNA from 1 species
AGAGUUUGAUCCUGGCUCAGAAUCAACGCUGGCGGCGCGCUUAACACAUGCAAGUCGCACGAGAAAGCCCGCAAGGGUGAGUAAAGUGGCGCACGGGUGAGUAACACGUGGGUAAUCCACCUCUUAGUGGGGAAUAACUCUGGGAAACCGGAGCUAAUACCGCAUGAGCCCGCAAGGGGAAAGCAGCAAUGCGCUGAGAGAGGAGCCCGCGGCCGAUUAGCUAGCUGGCAGGGUAAUGGCCUACCAGGGCAAUGAUCGGUAGCCGGCCUGAGAGGGCACACGGCCACACUGGCACUGAAACACGGGCCAGACUCCUACGGGAGGCAGCAGUGGGGAAUCUUGCACAAUGGGGGAAACCCUGAUGCAGCGACGCCGCGUGAGCGAUGAAGCCCUUCGGGGUGUAAAGCUCUUUCGACAGGAACGAUAAUGACGGUACCUGGAGAAGAAGCUGCGGCUAACUACGUGCCAGCAGCCGCGGUAAUACGUAGGCAGCAAGCGUUGUUCGGAGUUACUGGGCGUAAAGAGUGCGUAGGCGGUUCGCCAAGUCUGGUGUGAAAUCUCCCGGCUUAACCGGGAGGGUGCGCCGGAAACUGGCGGGCUUGAGUGUGGGAGAGGAAAGCGGAAUUCCUGGUGUAGCGGUGAAAUGCGUAGAUAUCAGGAGGAACACCGGUGGUGUAGACGGCUUUCUGGACCACUACUGACGCUGAGGCACGAAAGCGUGGGGAGCAAACAGGAUUAGAUACCCUGGUAGUCCUAGCCCUAAACGAUGAUUGCUUGGUGUAGCAGGUACCCAAUCCUGCUGUGCCGGAGCUAACGCGUUAAAUAUGCCGCCUGGGGAGUACAGUCGCAAGGCUGAAA